UACGUAGGGUGCGAGCGUUAUUCGGAAUUACUGGGCGUAAAGCGUGCGCAGGCGGUUCGGUGUGUCUGAUGUGAAAGCCCCGGGCUCAACCUGGGAAUGGCAUUGGAAACUGGCGAGCUAGAGUGUGGCAGAGGGGGGUGGAAUUCCGCGUGUAGCAGUGAAAUGCGUAGAGAUGCGGAGGAACACCGAUGGCGAAGGCAGCCCCCUGGGCUGACACUGACGCUCAGGCACGAAAGCGUGGGGAGCAAACAGG
rnacentral:rRNA from 1 species